CGAGGCAGAGAUGCGUAGCUGAUGGGAAGCAGGUUAAUAUUCCUGCACCGUCGUAUGAUGCGAUGGGGGGACGGAUCGCGGAAGGUUGUCUGACUGUUGGAAUAGUCAGUUUCUGGUUCAUAGAAGGCGCUUAGGCAAAUCCGGGCGCGUAAUUCAAGGGACUGGGACGAGUGAGCUUGCUCACGAAGCAAUCGGAAGUGGUUCCAAGAAAAGCCUCUAAGCUUCAGUCAUACGAGACCGUACCGCAAACCGACACAGGUGGGCGAGAUGAGUAUUCUAAGGCGCUUGAGAGAACUCGGGAGAAGGA
rnacentral:rRNA from 1 species